AAAGGAAUAGACGGGGACCCGCACAAGCAGCGGAGCAUGUGGUUUAAUUCGAAGCAACGCGAAGAACCUUACCUGGGCUUGACAUCCCUCUGACCGCUCCUUAACCGGAGCCUUCCCUUCGGGGACAGAGGUGACAGGUGGUGCAUGGUUGUCGUCAGCUCGUGUCGUGAGAUGUUGGGUUAAGUCCCGCAACGAGCGCAACCCUCGUCUUUAGUUGCCAUCAGUUCGGCUGGGCACUCUAGAGAGACUGCCGGGGAUAACUCGGAGGAAGGUGGGGAUGACGUCAAAUCAUCAUGCCCCUUAUGUUCAGGGCUACACACGUGCUACAAUGGCCAAUACAAAGGGUUGCCAAGGAGUAAUCUGGAGCUAAUCCCAUAAAGUUGGUCCCAGUUCGGAUUGUGGGCUGAAACUCGCCCACAUGAAGUUGGAGUUGCUAGUAAUCGCGAAUCAGCAUGUCGCGGUGAAUGCGUUCCCGGGUCUUGUACACACCGCCCGU
rnacentral:rRNA from 1 species